AUGCAGCUGAACGAUGUGUGUUGCAGGAUCACAGAUAGUGCAGGCAUUGGUGGUAAUCUGCUUCUACUUUCUGUAUGGAGCUGGGAGCGUCUGCCUGUUGGACGUCCGAAGAGCGUCAGGUUUAAUCCUUGGUAUGAAGAUGAACAUGACGAAUUACGGCGCCCCACUUGGGCUUACAAGUGGGAUAUGGUUUCCGAGAUGACGAACGAUGUCAAUCUCAUGUACCAAAAGUACAUUGCCGAGUUGGACACGAUUACGCCUGAGUAG
rnacentral:rRNA from 1 species